rfam:Enterocytozoon bieneusi H348 ctg01_818, whole genome shotgun sequence.
AUUUAGGUUGAUUCUGCCUAACGUAGAUGCUAGUCUCUGAGAUUAAGCCAUGCAUGUCAGUGAAGCCUUACGGCGGAACGGCGAACGGCUCAGUAAUGUUGCGGUAAUUUGGUCUCUGUGUGUAAACUAACCACGGUAACCUGUGGCUAAAAGCGGAGAAUAAGGCGCAACCCUAUCAGCUUGUUGGUAGUGUAAAGGACUACCAAGGCCAUGACGGGUAACGGGAAAUCAGGGUUUGAUUCCGGAGAGGGAGCCUGAGAGAUGGCUCCCACGUCCAAGGACGGCAGCAGGCGCGAAACUUGUCCACUCCUUACGGGGGAGACAGUCAUGAGACGUGAGUAUAAGACCUGAGUGUAAAGACCUUAGGGUGAAGCAAUUGGAGGGCAAGCUUUGGUGCCAGCAGCCGCGGUAACUCCAACUCCAAGAGUGUCUAUGGUGGAUGCUGCAGUUAAAGGGUCCGUAGUCGUGAAUGCAAUUAAAUGUCGUUGUUCAAUAGCGAUGAGUUUGCUAAUGUUUGCGGAACGGAUAGGGAGUGUAGUAUAGACUGGCGAAGAAUGAAAUCUCAAGACCCAGUUUGGACUAACGGAGGCGAAGGCGACACUCUUAGACGUAUCUUAGGAUCAAGGACGAAGGCAGGAGUAUCGAAAGUGAUUAGACACCGCUGUAGUUCCUGCAGUAAACUAUGCCGACAGCCUGUGUGUGAGAAUACGUGGGCGGGAGAAAUCUUAGUGUUCGGGCUCUGGGGAUAGUACGCUCGCAAGGGUGAAACUUAAAGCGAAAUUGACGGAAGGACACUACCAGGAGUGGAUUGUGCUGCUUAAUUUAACUCAACGCGGGAAAACUUACCAGGGUCAAGUCAUUCGUUGAUCGAAUACGUGAGAAUGGCAGGAGUGGUGCAUGGCCGUUGGAAAUUGAUGGGGCGACCUUUAGCUUAAAUGCUAAACCAGGAGACUCCUGCAGU